rnacentral:rRNA from 1 species
CUAUGUAUGCAGUCGAGCGGUGACGGGGCUUCGGCCCCCGAUCAGCGGCGAACGGUUGAGUAACACGUAGGCAACCUGCCCCGAAGUGGGGGAUAACUCAUCGAAAGGUGGGCUAAUACCGCAUGUGGAUGGCGACCGCCUGGUCGCUUCUCCAAAGUGGCAACACGCUUCGGGAUGGGCCUGCGGCCUAUCAGCUAGUUGGUGGGGUAACGGCCUACCAAGGCGGCGACGGGUAGCUGGUCUGAGAGGAUGGUCAGCCAGACAGGGACUGAGACACGGCCCUGACUCCUUUGGGGGGCAGCAAUGAGGGAUAUUGCACAAUGGGCGAAAGCCUGAUGCAGCGACGCCGCGUGGGUGAUGAAGUCCUUCGGGAUGUAAAGCCCUUUUGCUGGGGACGAGAAUGGACGGUACCCAGCGAAUAAGCCCCGGCUAACUACGUGCCAGCAGCCGCGGUAAUACGUAGGGGGCGAGCGUUGUCCGGAUUUACUGGGCGUAAAGCGCGUGUAGGCGGUCCCUUCAGUCGGGUGUGAAAGCCCGGGGCUCAACCCCGGGACGCCGCCCGAUACUGGGGGACUUGAGGACGGAAGAGGGGAGUGGAAUUCCUGGUGUAGCGGUGAAAUGCGUAGAUAUCAAGAGGAACACUCGUGGCGAAUGCGGCUCCCUGGUCCGUCCCUGACGCUGAGACGCGAAAGCGCGGGGAGCGAACGGGAUUAGAUACCCCGGUAGUCCGCGCCGUAAACGAUGGUCACUAGGUGUGCAGGGUAUCGACCCCCUGCGUGCCGUCGCUAACGCAAUAAGUGACCCGCCUGGGGAGUACGGCCGCAAGAUUGAAACUCAAAGGAAUUGACGUGGGGCCCGCACAAGCGGUGGGAGCAUGGGGAUU